AGUUAACGAUGACAUUGUUAUUUUGUGUGUGGCUGUAGUGGUUGUUGAAUGAUAAUAAAUGAGUCAACACGCAUUCAGGUUGUCACUCGUUUAGGGAAUGUGGAGGAGGGUGGAGGUACCUGCCGGUCAGUUUUCAUUCGUGACCACGCCGCUUCCACAUCACCACCACCGCCACCGCCACCAGUCUGCAGCGCCAAGUGACUGUCUCUCAUUGCUGUGGCGGGUGUUCAGUAGAGGGGGAGGAUAUGCAGUUCAUCCCGAGGCGGCGUAUGCAAGACAACACACCAAGCGCGAGAAGUUCCCGCAACAGAAGGGUGAACAAGACUCCUGUUUGAAGGCAGCGAUGGAUAGAUGGCACGUGAUUGGUGGAAAGGAUCAGCCAAUGGGGGAGACCGACCUGAUAGAUACUCGUA